GACGAACGCUGGCGGCGUGCUUAACACAUGCAAGUCGAACGGAAAGGCCCUGCUUUUGUGGGGUGCUCGAGUGGCGAACGGGUGAGUAACACGUGAGUAACCUGCCCUUGACUUUGGGAUAACUUCAGGAAACUGGGGCUAAUACCGGAUAGGAGCUCCUGCUGCAUGGUGGGGGUUGGAAAGUUUCGGCGGUUGGGGAUGGACUCGCGGCUUAUCAGCUUGUUGGUGGGGUAGUGGCUUACCAAGGCUUUGACGGGUAGCCGGCCUGAGAGGGUGACCGGGCAGGUGGGGGCUGGGCGGCGGGCCAGAGGCGGGCGGGGGGGAGAAGUGGGGAAGAUGGCAGAGGGGGCGUCAGCGUGAGGGAGCGGCGCGGGGGGAGGGGGGCCGGCCUGGGGUGUGUACCCCGCUGUAGGGUGUGGAGGGGGGGGAGAGCCGGGAGGGGGGAAAGAAGCACGGGCAAACUACGGGCCAGCGGCCGCGGUAAUAAGGGGCAUAGCACACGUCUGAAC
rnacentral:rRNA from 1 species